rnacentral:rRNA from 1 species
UUCCGGUUGAUCCUGCCAGAGGUUACUGCUAUCGGUGUUCGCCUAAGCCAUGCGAGUCAUAUGUAGCAAUACAUGGCGUACUGCUCAGUAACACGUGGAUAACCUGCCCUUGGGACCGGCAUAACCCCGGGAAACUGGGGAUAAUUCCGGAUAACGCAUAUUUGCUGGAAUGCUUUAUGCGUCAAAAGGAUUCGUCUGCCCAAGGAUGGGUCUGCGGCCUAUCAGGUAGUAGUGGGUGUAAUGUACCUACUAGCCAGCGACGGGUACGGGUUGUGAGAGCAAGAGCCCGGAGAUGGAUUCUGAGACAUGAAUCCAGGCCCUACGGGGCGCAGCAGGCGCGAAAACUUUACAAUGCGGGAAACCGUGAUAAGGGGACACCGAGUGCCAGCAUCAUAUGCUGGCUGUCCGGAUGUGUAAAAUACAUCCGUUAGCAAGGGCCGGGCAAGACCGGUGCCAGCCGCCGCGGUAACACCGGCGGCCCGAGUGGUGAUCGUGAUUAUUGGGUCUAAAGGGUCCGUAGCCGGUUUGGUCAGUCCUCCGGGAAAUCUGAUAGCUCAACUAUUAGGCUUUCGGGGGAUACUGCCAGACUUGGAACCGGGAGAGGUAAGAGGUACUACAGGGGUAGGAGUGAAAUCUUGUAAUCCCUGUGGGACCACCUGUGGCGAAGGCGUCUUACCAGAACGGGUUCGACGGUGAGGGACGAAAGCUGGGGGCACGAACCGGAUUAGAUACCCGGGUAGUCCCAGCCGUAAACGAUGCUCACUAGGUGUCAGGCAUGGCGCGACCGUGUCUGGUGCCGCAGGGAAGCCGUGAAGCGAGCCACCUGGGAAGUACGGCCGCAAGGCUGAAACUUAAAGGAAUUGGCGGGGGAGCACAACAACGGGUGGAGCCUGCGGUUUAAUUGGAUUCAACGCCGGG